rnacentral:rRNA from 1 species
GGACUACCGGGGUAUCUAAUCCUAUUUGCUCCCCAAGCCUUCGUCCCUUAAUGUCAGUUUACAUAUAGAGGAUCGUCUUCACCAUCAUACAUUCUAUUCAUAUCAAAAAAUUUUAUCUCUACAUGAAUAGCCCUGAUAUCAACCUCUCACAUCAAACUCUAGCAAUUUUGUUCCAUUGGAGGAUUAAAAUGCCAUCUAGGUACCCUUUAAACCCAGUGAAGAUGAAUAACACUAUUCUUACUUGUGUUACCGCGGCUGCUGGCAC